GAAUUCGAUUAACGCGAAGAACCUUACCCAGGCUUGAACUGCAGAUGACAUCCUACGAAAGUAGGCUUCCGCAAGGACAUCUGUAGAGGUGCUGCAUGGCUGUCGUCAGCUCGUGUCGUGAGAUGUUGGGUUAAGUCCCGCAACGAGCGCAACCCUUGUCUUCUGUUGCCAUCGGGUUAUGCCGGGCACUCUGAAGAGACUGCCGGUGACAAACCGGAGGAAGGUGGGGAUGACGUCAAGUCAGCAUGGCCUUUAUGUCUGGGGCCACACACGUGCUACAAUGGCCGGUACAAACCGUCGCGAUCCCGCGAGGGGGAGCUAAUCGGAGAAAGCCGGUCUCAGUUCGGAUUGCAGGCUGCAACUCGCCUGCAUGAAGUUGGAAUCGCUAGUAAUCGCGGAUCAGCACGCCGCGGUGAAUACGUUCCCGGGCCUUGUCACACCGAAUCACUA
rnacentral:rRNA from 1 species